CCUCUUUACGCGUUUUAGGAGCUUUCGAGCUCUAGUCCGGUGUAUAGCCAGACUCUAAUUUAUUGAACGGU
rnacentral:sRNA from 1 species